AUGUGAAUUGCAGAAUUCAGUGAAUCAUCGAAUCUUUGAACGCACAUUGCGCCCUUUGGUAUUCCGAGGGGCAUGCCUGUUCGAGCGUCAUUGCACCACUCAAGCUUGGCUUGGUGUUGGGCCCUCGUCUCCUGCGGACGUGCCCGGAAAUUAGCGGCGGCGCAGUCCGGCUUCAACGCUGGUAUCAGUCUCAUCUUUCGCUUUAGGAAGCCACGGGCCUGGGUCAGCCGGAUAACCCCCGAAUGUUCAUAAGGUUAGACCUGCGGAUCAGGUAGGGAUACCCGCUGAACUUAAGCAUAUCAAUAAGCGGAGGAAAAGAAACCAACAGGGAUUGCCUCAGAUAACGGCGAGUGAAGCGGCAACAGCUCAAAUUUGAAAUCUGGCCCUUUCAGGGUCCGAGUUGUAAUUAUGCAGAGGAUGCUUCGGGUACGGCGCCGGUCUAAGUUCCUUGGAACAGGACGUCACAGAGGGUGAGAAUCCCGUAUGUGACCGGCCGCCACGCCCGUGUGAAGCUCCUUCGACGAGUCGAGUUGUUUGGGAAUGCAGCUCAAAAUGGGUGGUAAAUUUCAUCUAAAGCUAAAUAUUGGCCAGAGACCGAUAGCGCACAAGUAGAGUGAUCGAAAGAUGAAAAGCACUUUGGAAAGAGAGUCAAACAGUACGUGAAAUGGUUGAUAGGGAGCCCUAAAAA
rnacentral:rRNA from 1 species